AAAACUUUGUAGCCAAGUUUUUGUGUGAUAAAGUUGGAGCGAUACAGAGAAGAUUAGUAUCGUCCUUGUGCAAGGAUAAUAAAGCAAUUAUAUCGUGAAGCAUUCCACAAAAAC
rnacentral:snRNA from 1 species